AGCCGCCGUUCGGCGUCGUCGGGGCCGGGCCAC
rnacentral:antisense_RNA from 1 species